rnacentral:rRNA from 1 species
AACGAACGCUGGCGGCAGGCUUAACACAUGCAAGUCGAACGCCCCGCAAGGGGAGUGGCAGACGGGUGAGUAACACGUGGGAACCUUCCUCGUUGUACGGAACAACUCAGGGAAACUUGAGCUAAUACCGUAUACGUCCGAGAGGCGAAAGAUUUAUCGCAAUGAGACGGGCCCGGGGCGGAUUCGCUAGUUGGUGGGGUAACGGCCUACCAAGGCGACGAUCCGUAGCUGAUCUGAGAGGAUGAUCAGCCACACUGUGACUGAGGCACAGCCCCGCCUCCUACGGGAGGCAGCAGUGGGGAAUCUUGGACAAUGGGCGCAAGCCUGAUCCAGCAAUGCCGCGUGAGUGAAGAAGGCCUUCGGGUUGUACAGCUCUUUUGUCAGGGACGAUAAUGACGGUACCUGAAGAAUAAGCCCCGGCAAACUUCGUGCCAGCCGCCGCAGUAA